UGAACGCUGGCGGCAGGCCUAACACAUGCAAGUCGCGCGGAUGAAGGGAGCUUGCUCCUGGAUUCAGCGGCGGACGGGUGAGUAAUGCCUAGGAAUCUGCCUGGUAGUGGGGGAUAACGUCCGGAAACGGGCGCUAAUACCGCAUACGUCCUGAGGGAGAAAGUGUGGGAUCUUCGGACCUCACGCUAUUAGAUGAGCCUAGGUCGGAUUAGCUAGUUGGUGGGGUAAAGGCCUACCAAGGCGACGAUCCGUAACUGGUCUGAGAGGAUGAUCAGUCACACUGGAACUGAGACACGGUCCAGACUCCUACGGGAGGCAGCAGUGGGGAAUAUUGGCCAAUGGGCGAAAGCCUGAUCCAGCCAUGCCGCGUGUGUGAAGAAGGUCUUCGGAUUGUAAAGCACUUUAAGUUGGGAGGAAGGGCAGUAAGUUAAUACCUUGCUGUUUUGACGUUACCAACAGAAUAAGCACCGGCUAACUUCGUG
rnacentral:rRNA from 1 species